rnacentral:rRNA from 1 species
AGAAGAGGACAGUGGAACUCCAUGUGUAGCGGUGGAAUGCGUAGAUAUAUGGAAGAACACCAGUGGCGAAGGCGGCUGUCUAGUCUGUAACUGACGCUGAGGCUCGAAAGCAUGGGUAGCGAACAGGAUUAGAUACCCUGGUAGUCCAUGCCGUAAACGAUGAGUGCUAAGUGUUGGAGGGUUUCCCCCUUCAGUGCUGCAGCUAACGCAUUAAGCACUCCGCCUGGGGAGUACGACCGCAAGGUUGAAACUCAAAGGAAUUGACGGGGGCCCGCACAAGCGGUGGAGCAUGUGGUUUAAUUCGAAGCUACGCGAAGAACCUUACCAGGUCUUGACAUCUUCUGCCAAUCUUAGAGAUAAGACGUUCCCUUCGGGGACAGAAUGACAGGUGGUGCAUGGUUGUCGUCAGCUCGUGUCGUGAGAUGUUGGGUUAAGUCCCGCAACGAGCGCAACCCUUAUUAUCAGUUGCCAGCAUUCAGUUGGGCACUCUGGUGAGACUGCCGGUGACAAACCGGAGGAAGGUGGGGAUGACGUCAAAUCAUCAUGCCCCUUAUGACCUGGGCUACACACGUGCUACAAUGGACGGUACAACGAGUCGCGAAGUCGUGAGGCUAAGCUAAUCUCUUAAAGCCGUUCUCAGUUCGGAUUGUAGGCUGCAACUCGCCUACAUGAAGUUGGAAUCGCUAGUAAUCGCGGAUCAGCAUGCCGCGGUGAAUACGUUCCCGGGCCUUGUACACACCGCCCGUCACACCAUGAGAGUUUGUAACACCCAAAGCCGGUGAGAUAACCUUCGGGAGUCAGCCGUCUAAGGUGGGACAGAUGAUUAGGGUGAAGUCGUAACAAGGUAACCA